GACGAACGCUGGCGGCGUGCCUAACACAUGCAAGUCGAGCGAGUGAAUCUCCUUCGGGAGUGAAGCUAGCGGCGGACGGGUGAGUAACACGUGGGCAACCUGCCUCAUAGAGGGGGAUAGCCUUUCGAAAGGAAGAUUAAUACCGCAUAAGAUUGUAGCUUCGCAUGAAGUAGCAAUUAAAGGAGCAAUCCGCUAUGAGGUGGGCCCGCGGCGCAUUAGCUAGUUGGUGAGGUAACGGCUCACCAAGGCGACGAUGCGUAGCCGACCUGAGAGGGUGAUCGGCCGCAUUGGGACUGAGACACGGCCCAGACUCCUACGGGAGGCAGCAGUGGGGAAUAUUGCACAAUGGGGGAAACCCUGAUGCAGCAACGCCGCGUGAGUGAUGACGGCCUUCGGGUUGUAAAGCUCUGUCUUCAGGGACGAUAAUGACGGUACCUGAGGAGGAAGCCACGGCUAACUACGUGCCAGCAGCCGCCGUAA
rnacentral:rRNA from 1 species